CUUUUGUGUUUUAGCCUCAUCUAGUUUCAUUAGUCCCCCUCUAGAUGAUGGAGAACUGAGCUUGGACUACAGGCAACACUUCCUUGGGCACGCAAAGGGCCAUUCCCUUCUACAGGCAUUUGGUCAUCGGGUACAAGCACAACUUCUAAGGAUUUGCCACAGGAAUCAUCAGUCAGGGCUUCAGAGCAUAAUCUCAGUCUCCUGCAGUGACGUACAAUGUACAUUAAUCAUUCGUUGCAUAGUGCAACAAGGUAAUCACCAGAAUUUAUAUACUCACCAAUAAGCCAGCCAUCGCUAAUAACAGCUUGCUGAAGUUGAAGUCUCACUGUUCUGUGCUGUACAAUGAAAAAUAGUGUGUUCCACCUGGCCACUUAAUGAUGACAUUCAGAAAGCUCAACUGCAUGUCACAAAUUACCUGUACAUUAACUGAGUGAUAGCCUUUUCAUUUCACAUACAUGAGUUCCUCAAAACUGGGUGAUUUUAUGGCUGUGUGUGAGCAAUCUAUUGCUGCAAUAACAUUUGAAAAACCUGCAAUGGCAUUAAAUUCCUUCAUAAUUGUUGUCUUUUCUGCUGUCAUAUUUGGAAAUGCAAUGUACUGCAGCAUCAGCGAUAUAAAUGCAUGUAAAACAUGUGGCAUUACUCGGCUCAUUGUUGCUUGUGAAAUGCCAGACCUGUCUCCAAUUUUCUGUUAAAAUUACUGAAAGAAAAUCGACUAACAAGCCACUCAUCACUCUCAGC